rnacentral:lncRNA from 1 species
AUUUCCUCCUCGGUCCCACCCUGGUCCAUGAGUGUCGUGAGCCAGUGCCUGGCUGCCUCGGCAGAGAGCUGGGGUCGCCAGAGUGACCGCCCUCGUCCGUAGCACGGUACCAGCACGUCUCUGACGGCCAAAGUGCAGGUGCCAGGUGCCGGCCGCGAUGCUGGGAAGAUGCUGUGGCUGUCUCUCCACGAACCAAGCGACCCACAGGUCCACACCAGCACUUCUGUGGUGUCAGCACCAGUGUCGCCUGAGCCUCCCUCUCAGGCUCUUCCUGAUUUUUAUUUCCCUUUGGAUGGCAGAGUCCCUGAGUCCCCCACAGGCCAGUGACGUUCCCCGUCACCUGUGACUUCUGGCAGACGCAGAGGAAACGAGCGGCACUGUUAGGGCCUUUGUGAGCUGCAUGCAUCCCCGCCCCACCCACCUCCUGCUGUGGCCGCCCUGAUGGGCGCUGAGAUAGGGGAUGUGCCACCAGCACUGUCGCCACGUCCCAUCUCCCUCCCAGGUUCUGGUGGGGCGUGCGCUGACGUCACGGAACUGCCCGGGCUUCCCUCUGCCAUGGGCUGGAGCGCCCAGAGCCCAGAUAAGCCCCACGUGUUUCUGCAAAGGCCCCGGCCUGUCUCAGGGCGGCUUCCUGGAGCAAUUAGUAGUGUGCAUUUCAUCACCCCACUCCCUUCCCCAAAUUCCCUUUCAACAACCCCCGACUAUUUUUAAGAAUAACAAUAAUAAAACACAGAUGGAGAACCAGGAAUUGUGUCAUGGGAACUGAUAACAGGACACACUGGCACUGAGCUCCAGGAGGAACCCUGGCUGCAAACACACACCCGAGGCUGGCUCGCCCAAGGCUCUGCGGGGCCAGAGACCCAGGCAAGCAAAGGUGCCCCACAUGCCCGGCCCCGCCAGCAGCACCUCCUGACAUGGCGCCCACAGAAGGUCCCGACUCUGUCCCGUGUGGGAGCUCAGCCUCUGUAAAGACACAGGCACGCGUGGGCUCCCCGCAGGCCCUGCUCAGAGCCACGCUGAUCCUGGGCCCUGCCCAAGACGGGACCUGGCACUCAGCCACAGGACGCAGAGCCAGGCUCUCUGCAGAGGGCUCCGCCCCCAGUGUGGAAGGCACCAGAAGGAGCCCGGGCUCCCGCCCCUCCGUGUGACUCUUCACAAACACUAAGGAGGAUAACGACAGGGCCCAGGUGCUCGCAGGCUGCUCCCGGACUGGCACGCAGGACCUGACUUGUCCCAGAGUGCGCACGGCAGCUCCUCACCAGAGGCACUUUCCGUGACACUCGGGCGGCGCUGCGGGGCCUCGGCACAACGCAGAGAGAAAGACGGCUCUGUUCUGUGUGGGGGUCGCACGUCCCCACCCAAAUGCCCUAGGCUGCUGGUUGCUCAGCGGCCUCCCGCCCACUGUGCUGCUGAGUGCAGCGGCCCCCAGGAGCUCCGUGCCCUGCUGUGCUUGGCAUCUGUGGCACGAGACAGGGAUGCCCCAGAAUUCGAGACCAGUUAACUCCUUUCCCACUGCGCUGGUUCAGCCUUGCUACAAAAGACGUCUGCAAAGAGGCAGGAGGAGCCACCUGCCCAGGAGGAAGACACGGUGGGGGUUCAGGUAGCUCAGAACAGGCCCCACCUGUGGGGGAAGGGAGGCUGCCCAAUGCAUGAAGAGACUGGGCUCAGGUCCUCAUCCAACCCUGGCCAGCGGAGCUCCAAAAGAAAGGACUCCAGUCAGAAUAGUGAUUGUGGGGACGAAAGAGGCCUAAAUGAUCAACACAGGGGAAAGGUGGGGACACUACAAAGAAAUAAUGAAGCCAUGAGUGGACCCUGAAGGGUAACAGCGACAGGGACAGGAGGGAGGCCUGAGAGGUAACGACGGUGGGACGUGGGGAGGACUGAGGGGUAACGACGGUGGGACGUGGGGAGGCCUGAGGGGUAACAACGGUGGGACGUGGGGAGGACUGAGGGGUAACGACGGUGGGACGUGGGGAGGACUGAGAGGUAACGACGGUGGGACGUGGGGAGGACUGAGGGGUAACGACGGUGGGACGUGGGGAGGCCUGAGGGGUAACGACGGUGGGACGUGGGGAGGACUGAGGGGUAACGACGGUGGGACGUGGGGAGGACUGAGAGGUAACGACGGUGGGACGUGGGGAGGACUGAGGGGUAACGACGGUGGGACGUGGGGAGGACUGAGGGGUAACGACGGUGGGACGUGGGGAGGACUGAGGGGUAACGACGGUGGGACGUGGGGAGGACUGAGGGGUAACGACGGUGGGACGUGGGGAGGACUGAGGGGUAACGACGGUGGGACGUGGGGAGGCCUGAGGGGUAACGACGGUGGGACGUGGGGAGGACUGAGGGGUAACGACGGUGGGACGUGGGGAGGCCUGAGGGGUAGUAAUGAUGGGAUGUGGGGAGGCGUGAGGGGACAGGAUGGGUGAUGGUGACAGUGACAGGGUGGGGACGGCGUCUGAGGUCUCCAUCGUGUUCGUGGGACAGGCCGCCUGCAUGGCCGCCGAGAGCCGUCUUGUUCCCCGCGGGCACAGGAGGGCGCGUCGCUGAGGGUGAAAGGGAAGCGGCAUGGCCAUGGGGCUUCCCCUUGCUGCCCACGAGCACCUGAGCCUCGGUGGGAGAGCCCGUCGGGGGGCGGAAAGUUCCUCGGUGUGUCCCCCGGCCACCCAGGUUCCCGUCGGGGGCCACCACAGCCUCCUUUGCUCUCUCUGCCUGGGUCUGCGGCUGCUGAGCUCUCGGGAGGGGAGGAGGGCCGACCUCAAGAGAGCUGUCGAGGCCUAAGGAGCCAGCGGCAGCCUGCACCUCACUCCUGCGGGCUGGCGGUGCGUGUGGGCCGACCCCGUCCCAGCGCCGGGUCAAGUGUGUUCCACAAGGUCUCAGACGCUGCAGGGACGCGUGGCCGGGACCAGACACAGCCCAGGCACCCUCCAGGGCCUUCCCGCUGCCCCAUGGCAGCAGCUGACAGAGAGCGGGAUGGACAACCCUGACACCACUCAGCAGAGGACAGCACAGCAACCGAACCGCAGAGGAGGCUGUACCGCCCACCCAUCCACACCGCGGACGAGAGCCGUACGUGGAGCCGUGCUCGCCCCGCAGACACGGCCUGUGCCGUAGCCCUGAGAGGAAAGCCACGGCUUCCCCUUUCACAGGUAGCAUGUGACCCUCACGGCGUGUGGGAGACCUGAAAGAGGAAACUUACUUUGCCUAACGUCAGAUGUCCCCGCAACAGGAUGUGUUAUGCAGCCCUGCCUGGCCCUUUGUGCACCUGCUUGCUCCUUGCAACAGCCCCGGGAGCGGCAAAGGCAGUACUUACUAGGAAAGUCAUGGAAAGCUGGAUGGGCCUACUGGCUGGUGCCUGGGGGACGACUCAGACCCUGGGACAGGAGGGUUCCCACCCUGCCCAGCCAGCUCCUGGCCCCAGGAGUCCGUCCUCUCUCCUCCAAAUCUGGCCCCCGUCCCUUCCCUCUCUGGUCCUCCCUGUUUCACCUGCAGGGUGCUCAGUGCCCGGAACUUGGCGUAUCUGAGGUGGCCAGAGGCGCCAGCGGAGCAGGAUGUCGGAGCUGCCACUCGCCUUCCACUGUGCUGUGAGAGCCACCGGGACACGUCAGCAUCUCCCCUGUUCUGAAAUCAACACCGAGACACACCGAGUCCCUCCGGAGGCAUCUGCAGAGGCAGCAACGCCACGCGAGGGCUGCCGACUCUCCAGCUCCAACAUUUCGUCCGGACCUCCCGGCAGCGCAGCGGGGGAUCCCCUCCCGUGAGGGGCCCGGAGGGGCUUCGAGAAGGCUGUCGCCUGAUGGGCUCCGUCAAGUUUCCCCCUGCAGACCCUCAUUCUACCAGUUUUGAUUCCAUUUUAAAUCUGACUUCCAAGUGGCACCCCUGCCGACGGUCAAAACGCCCCCUCUCCUGGUGUGUGCCCUCCAUCCCCGCUUCCUGGGGGCAGCCGGUUUCUUGCUGUCUGGACAACAGAGCUCUGCCAAUGCCACUUAUCUCGCCCGUCCAGGACUUUAUCACCAACUGUCCUACUUCCGACUCCAGCAAAGGAGCGACAGCGAGCACGUCUGUGCUUGGCUGUGACUAACAGGGCCUCUGAAUAAAGUGAAAAUAAUCCCACUUUAAGCUGCAAGAGGAAAGACCCACAGAAGGAAAGUCCUUCACGGACGGAGACCCAGGAUCCUGAAAUGCAGUGCGUCCCUUCAACGUUCUGAGAAUAAAAAUUUAAACAUGCAAGCCCCGGGAGGAAAAGCAAUUCCUAAAACAUGGCAGAAACAACAUAAAAAAAAUCUUGCUGUUGUUUUAAAAACUGACCUAAGACCAGGCAUGGUGGCUCACACCUGUAAUCCCAGCACUUUGGGAAGCCAAGGCGGGAGGAUCACUUGAGGCCAAAAGUUCAAGACCAGCCUGGGCAAUGUAGUGAGACCACCCCCCAUCUCUACAAACAAAUGUAAAAAUUAGCCAGACAUGGUGGUGUGCACCUGUGGUCCCAGCUACUUGGGAGGCUGAGGUGGGAGGAUGGCUUGAGCCCAGGAGGUUGAGGCUGCAGUGAGCUGAGAUUGUACCACUGCAUUCCAGCCUGGGUGACAGAGCAAGACCCUGUCUCAGGAAAAAAAAUAAAAAAAUAAAAAAUAAAUAGCCUGAUCUCCUGUUUUCCAGGAAAGCCCGAGCCUUGUAAGGGUUUUUCAGAUGGUAGUGAAACAACUUGGAAGUCAGCAAUUCCUAAGGAUUUUCCAAAUCUUCUCAGACUAAAAUUCUCCCACUUUCCUGCUGCCUUGUUCAAACCAUGGUUCGGAGAUCUGUGAGCAGCCUGCCAGCCGCCGGAGGCUCUGAAGCCUUUCUGAGGCGAGGUCUUUGCACCUGAACGCUCUGGUAGAACAAGGUUUAGCAAAAGGGAGCCUGGAAGGGCCCAUCCUCACCUUCUGCCCAGUCCUGCAGGGCUCAGGACACAUCCUGGGGGCUAAUCUGUGGGAAGAGGUUUGACUGAGACCCCGUUCUGCUCUGUGAAUGGGCGGACUCUUCAGCAUCUCACACGGAGAAACAACUUCCUCCUGGAUCGGAGCCCAAGUCAGGGAUAAGGUGCCUCCUGCCUGCACCGUGGGCACUGGCCGCCUUGUUACAGAAUCAACGGCCGUCCACUGAGGGACACCGGGUGCCAGGGGUCCUAACACCCCUCCAGAGCACCCGGCACAGCUCUCCUUGGAGCUGGGUGCUACCCUUAGUCUCGUUUUGAAGACAGGACUGGGCGGUCAGGUCAGCCCAUCCUCACACUGCGGUGAGUAGCGGGGGCAGGAGCAGCCUUGCUGUGGGCCACGCCCUGGGCAAUGAGCGGUGGCUCCUUGGGGGAUCUCAGAUUUUUCCAAGUCUGUUUUCUAUAUGGCUGAACGAUGUGACAAAACACUUGUCAAGGACACCCUCUCAGGUGCUCUGAUCUGCAUCUUUCACGAGCGAGAGGGGGGGUGCCAGGCACUUCCUGGUGGACCUUCAGUUACCGCCCAUCAGAACACAAGCAGGCAGCGCGAAACAUGCUGGGCCCGGGGGCUCCAUCGCCCUUUACACUGCCACACUCAGCUUCCACAUGUUCUACUGUGGGCGUGUGCCCCUCCUUCAUGUUUCUGGGGUUCAUGGGGACAUUAGUGUUGUCCUUCCCUUUCUGUCUCAAAGAAUUGACUGUGCCUGUCAUUGGACGCAGCGGCUGCCAUGAAUGUCGACCGGGAAAGCGAUGGGAAAAGCUGUUCAGACACAGCUGAGCUGCCUCUACCUGGUCACCUGCACGCCAGGCCCAUGCAGUCUGCUCCAUCCCUGUCCCUGGCAGAGCCCAUCUGGGAGUGGUGGUGACUGUGCCAGCUGGAGACCCACUGAGCACCAGGGUGCAGCACAGACAACGACGCCCUCAGGCUGCGUGCAGUGAAGAGCCGGGAGAGGCAGCGCUAGAAUUGUUUUUAGGAACUGGAUUUGGGCUUAAAGAAUAAACAAUGUGGUUCAGCCACGCUAACCCAAAUACACUGUUUAAUCCUUGCAGUUAAAAAGUUUAAGUAGCACAGAUGAAGACUAUAACUUGCAUAAACGAUUUUUGUGUCAAUUUUUAAAAAGCAUAUUUGUUCAUAUAGGUACCACUAACUUAAUUGCACAAAACACAUUUAAAAGCAUCUUCCCUCUUUUUCAAUGGUUAUGUUAGUUCCAAUCAACAACCAAUUGUGCUAUGAUUAUUCAAGUCUAAGAGUAUUUAUCUAUGACCGCUAAACAAACCAGACAGUUUGGCAAGGACACAGGCCUCAGAAUUAUCAGACAUCAGAACGUCCUGCAGGACUGCUCCUUCUUUAGAGUUGUCAUUUUCCUUUACACUAAAGCAAUACAGGAAACAAAAAAGGCCGUCGUGAUGCCACCCACGGCCUACGGGGGCAUGUUCCUAUUGCCUCUUCCUGUCGCAGCGUCCCCAUCCGCCUCACUUUCCGUCCAGCAGGCUCCCUUCUAAGGCCCACCGUCCCACUGGACACAGCGUAAUUAAACCUGCAGCAGGAACGCAAUUGUCCCCAGCUUACUCCACCAUCCUCUGAGGGACAGAAAAGUGCAUAUUCUUCAGAGGACAAGUCAUCAAAAAUAACUUUUUAAAAAGAGCAAAACAAAACAGGAAAGACAUUCUCCUCCAUUCCUAUAACUAAGAGAUAAUUAUAAAAAGUAUUUGCUAACCUUCCCAGAAAAUACACCUUUAGCUAAAGUUAGUCUUGUAACCUAAGAGGGUAAUAAUUUGGGUAGGACACAGAUAGAACCAGAAAUAUCUCAGGCCAAAUCCUAUUCUUAAAUAACUAACUUCUAAGAUGUCUCCCAAUGACAUUUGCUGUACUCAGCUUUGACAAUAUCUAAUAAUUCUUGGAGUAAGAACGCCAUUUGAUGGUGGUUGAAAACCUUAAUGAACAUAUGGAUUUUCAUGGCUGUGGCGUUCAUUACAAAGGGGCAUGAUAGAUGUGUUUACUGACUGUUUUAUGGUUUCAUUGAAUUGCUGAAUACACAGCUUUCAAUUUUUCCAUCUGACAUACACAUUUAGACUUGUAUGGCUCUCAUUUAAGGUAUUACAGUAGAUAUGAGCUAAGUACAUAAAAAUAUGGUUAAAGCCACAAAUUAGAGAUCAGAAAAUAGGAAGCGAAGAGGAAAACGCUUUUGUUCCACUGUACGUAUAUCGUGUCUGAUGCAGAGGUGGCUUCGGUGUGUGCGCCAAGGUAACUGAAGAGGCCGCCUCUCAUGUGGGUUUUUUAAUUUUUUGAGAAGAAGCAACCUCUUAGAAAGUCUACCAUAAAUGUUUCCUCCUUCACAAGCAAAUAUCUGGAUUUUCCAUAACCUCCUACAUGAAGCCUCCACCACGGCCUCCUCGGUCCACCCUAAACUGUCCGACACUGCUGGGCGCCCGGCGCUCGGCUGAGAAACGGGGUAAGAACAAGGGCGGUUCUGCCACUCCACAGUCGAGGAGCCACCACAUUCUGAAAACGCAGGGUCGCAGCGUCUCUAGAACCCUUCUUUACGAUUCUGCAUUUUUCAAAGAUGCUUUGUAAAGCAGUGGAAAAUAACAGCUUCUCAAGUUUCAUUAAAAAGUAAGUUCUCAAGUCCAGGACCUAUUUCAGCCUUCACUUAUUUUUAUCUUUUUCAUCGCAAUAAGCCACCGCCACAGGGCCUGCUAUUUUUGGAAGGAGAGGACGGGACAACGGAGGGACGGCCUGACAAGUCACAGUUUUCAUAAAACAAGCCCCUCAUCUGGACGCAGCUGGUGGUGGGGAGCGGGACCGCCACUCGGGACGUCAGCCAUUAAGACAGAAUAAUUUUCCUACCUUAACUGCCUGCUUCCUUAUUUAGCCUGAAUGUUGCACAGAAUGCAAACGCCGUGUGGAAACUGCCAGGGUUCAGGGUACAGGACCACGUGCCUGGGAGAUUCCGACAGGCUGUCCUUCCGCCCCCCACCGAGACGGCAUGCGGGCGCGUGUUUCCACGGAUCUAGUCCGUCUUAUCUGCACCAAACUGCCAUUCCAGUCACUCACUGGGAUCAUUAAACCACCACUUGCAGUUUUCCAGGGCUUUCUUUGUUCUACUAGGAAGUAUAUGCCCCCAAAUUAUGAAAUUCCAUUUCAAACAGAAUUAACAGAAUUUAAAAAAUAAAAAUGUUA